UCAGCUUCAGGAUCACCCAUGCACUUUUUAAUCUUAUCAAUAGGCAGAUCAAGUGAUUUCAGAACUUCCUCAGCACAUUCUUUGCUAUAUCUCUUGUUCUUCAUGGAACACCUAAUAUGGAAAUCUGUCACAUAAUCCCACCAUACCCAAGAUUGGCUGCUCUCAUUGGCAACUCUAUGGACACAAAGCUGCCUCAAGUUCUCAUACACCACAUCUUUCCCCUGAUAUCCCUCCCCAAAAUCCUGUUCUGGAUCAGGUGCACAGUAUCUCCCAUGGUUUAUGCACUGAGAUUUGCACUGACUGCUAAGAAUAAAAGCCUGUGGGCAAUACCACGUAAUAUAGUGCGGUGUAAACAAUGUGUAACCUCCUUUCUCAAGGAUCUGAGCAUGACCUUUGAAACUCUUCACGAAUUGCAUCUGUUCAUCGCAUCGAGUCCCACAUUCAUCAUUGCUGUUUGUCCAAAGCUCAUACUCAACUCUCUGGUCAGGAUGGGGCACCGACUCUCGCCAGUCCAGUUUGAUCACGACAUCUUCUCCAUUCUUCAAGGCUUGCUUCAAGCUCUCACCAAAAGAUCUCUCUAUCAAUGCUGAUGGGAUUUGGACCUUCUCUACAUACCCUUGUGAAUUACCACUUGCCUCAGGGGAGUCCAUAGUUAUUAGUGGCUCAUCUAUACGAUCAACCACUAACACUGCUGCAGCUCCAGCCUGCUGAGCAUUCCAUACUUUCAAAGCAAAAUAGCAUUCUCCACGAUCAAGAAGAAGAAUGGUUGGACGAGGAGUCUUAGACCUGAAAGGCUUAUCACCAUCAAAAGGCUGGCACCCUAAACCUUCUUUCUCAUGAUACAUGGCAGAACCCACCAAGAACCCGCCAUAAUCUGGUAAACCAAAGUUGCCUAUUGCACUGUCAUGUUUUGAUCUUAAACUCAAUGGAGACAACACACUUAUGCUACUCUUCUCCACCACAAAACGACCAAACACAAAGCUCCCCAGAAGUUCUGAUACCAGAAAUAAAAACAAAAGUUUUCCCAAACGAGCCAUGCAAAUGAUCGUCAUUACCAAUAAUCAUACAAAACAAAAGGUUUUGGGUUUGUUUGGUUUAUUCUUGCUCUGCUUGGCCGAGAGAAAAGAGAAAUGGGGACGUUUGUGGAGAGGAGACUUUGCAGCAGUCCACAGAUGAAAAGAGAGAAAUUCAG
rnacentral:misc_RNA from 1 species